UAAUACGAAGGGGGCUAGCGUUGCUCGGAAUCACUGGGCGUAAAGCGCACGUAGGCGGAUUGUUAAGUCAGGGGUGAAAUCCUGGAGCUCAACUCCAGAACUGCCUUUGAUACUGGCGAUCUCGAGUCCGGGAGAGGUGAGUGGAACUGCGAGUGUAGAGGUGAAAUUCGUAGAUAUUCGCAAGAACACCAGUGGCGAAGGCGGCUCACUGGCUCGAUACUGACGCUGAGGUGCGAAAGCGUGGGGAGCAAACAGGA
rnacentral:rRNA from 1 species